GAAAUUGCUACGUGCACACCAUAGAGGUAUUAGAUCAAUGAUGGUUGUUAGAUUCAGAUUUGUGGGACUAAUCGUGCGGUGGUAAAUGAGUCGUCCGGUGUGCCGGGGGUAAUUGCGGGGUGCACUUAAGAAAAUUCUUGUUAGAUUGUUUAAUAGAAGUGGAGAAGCGGAGAAGUGGAGAAUCGCAUGUCAGUCCAAUGAUGCAUGUGGUUUCCUUCUAAGCUGAUGUCCACUUUAUUUAUGGUCUUUUUUUUUCCUGAUUUUUUUUGUUUCUUGUUGCUGCAUUAUAUUUGUGGGGGUUUAGAUGUGAUAUCCUUAAAAAACAUCUAGAUGUGAAUUAGACAAACUGAUCUUGAAUUCCCGUCCGGUACAGAUAAUAUUCAGAUUGCAAUUUGGUCGUUUGAAAAGACAAGAUCGUCUAUAAUUAGAAGGAAACCCGCAUAUAAUUAGAAGGUGGUAAUCAAGCUAAUAUUAACUUGAAAUCCAGCCCGGACGUGAUUAUUAUAGCAGUUAUUGCUAAUCUUUUUGCAGGGAGGGUGUGAUCCCUAGACCUCUCUCUGGUUCUUCUCCAUAUACAGGAUUAUAUACAUGUGUGCAUGGACAAAUCAUCUUGGAGUUUUGCUUAGAACACAUAUUCUUUUGUCAAUCUGUCGCAUCACAAUAUCUAGAUGGCCAAGUACACGACUUCCAUCCGUGCACCACUCCGGCUGUCUCUACUUCUUCUCGUAUGCAUUGCUACUACCACACAAGGCCAAAUCAUCGACGGCAUGAAUAAUCGUAAGAUCAGUUUACCAGGCGGGCUGUGCGUCUACAGAAAAAAGACUAAGGCCUUCUGCUGCCUUGCAAAGCCUGAUUCGUGCCACAUCGAGCUCUAUUAUUGCAACUUAGAUUGCAAAAGAUAUGCAGACGUUGCGGCGAUGACAACACCUCCUUCAGCUAUCCUCCCUCCACUCCCAUAGAAUUAAACUUUUAUUCAACGAAAUAAUAUGUUAUGCAUGCGAGUAAGUUUGUCUUGUGAUGCAGAGAAUUUAUCUUGAUUAUGGUGACAAAAUAAAAGCCGAGCAAUUUGCCGUGGGACGGGGAA